GUCUAUGGCCAUACCACCCUGAACGAGCCCGAUCUCGUCUGAUCUCAGAAGCUAAGUAGGCUCGGGCCUGGUUAGUACUUGGAUGGGAGACCACCUGGGAAUACCGGGUGCUGUAGGCU
ensembl:rRNA 5S_rRNA 5S ribosomal RNA